rnacentral:misc_RNA from 1 species
GUGAAUCAUCGAAUUUUUGAACGCAAAUUGCACUCUUUUCUGUGAGUAUGCCUGUGUGAGGUUCAGCAUAAGAAAAAUCGACAUAUUCGCUGUUUCGCGGUGACAUUCGUCGGAAAUUGGUUCAUCUUAUACCUUUUGGUUUUAAGCGGCUUAAAAUUUUCUUUACGAUUACACGUACGUUUCUAAGAUAUACUUACACGUUUAAUGUAUCGAUCUUUAUUAGACGUGGCCGUUGUAUCGUAUCGCGUCCAUAAAUAUUUCGUUAACUGACCUCAUCCAGGUAAGAACACCCUCUGAACUU